rnacentral:rRNA from 1 species
CCUACGGGAGGCAGCAGUCGAGAAUCAUUCACAAUGGGGGAAACCCUGAUGGGGCGACGCCGCGUGGGGGAAUGAAGGUCUGCGGAUUGUAAACCCCUGUCAUGGGGGAGCAAAUUAAAAAGAUAGUACCACAAGAGGAAGAGACGGCUAACUCUGUGCCAGCAGCCGCGGUAAUACAGAGGUCUCAAGCGUUGGUCGGAACCACUGGGCGUAAAGCGUGCGUAGGCUGUUUCGUAAGUCGUGUGUGAAAGGCGCGGGCUCAACCCGCGGACGGCCCCUGAUACUGCGAGACUAGAGUACUGGAGUGGUCACCGCUCUUCUCGGUGUCGCCGU